CUGCUUCUACUUUCUGUAUGGAGCUGGGAGCGUCUGCCUGUUGGACGCCCGAAGAGCGUCAGGUUUGAUCCUUGGUAUGCAGAUGAACAUGACGAAUUACGGCGCCCCACGUGGGCUUACAAGUGGGAUAUCGUUCCGAAAUGA
rnacentral:rRNA from 1 species